CACGAACCCGACAAACGUUAUUCGGAAUUAUUGGGCUUAAAGGGUGCGUAGGCGGUGCGGUAAGUGGGGUGUGAAAUCCCUCGGCUCAACCGAGGAAUUGCGCUUCAUACUGCCGUGCUGGAGGGAGACAGGGGUAAGCGGAACUGAUGGUGGAGCGGUGAAAUGCGUUGAUAUCAUCAGGAACACCGGUGGCGAAAGCGGCUUACUGGGUCUCUUCUGACGCUGAGGCACGAAAGCUAGGGUAGCGAACGGGAUUAGAAACCCCGUAGUCC
rnacentral:rRNA from 1 species